rnacentral:rRNA from 1 species
GCUAAUACCGUAUAACAACAAAAUCCGCAUGGAUUUUGUUUGAAAGGUGGCUUCGGCUAUCACUUCUGGAUGAUCCCGCGGCGUAUUAGUUAGUUGGUGAGGUAAAGGCCCACCAAGACGAUGAUACGUAGCCGACCUGAGAGGGUAAUCGGCCACAUUGGGACUGAGACACGGCCCAAACUCCUACGGGAGGCAGCAGUAGGGAAUCUUCCACAAUGGACGAAAGUCUGAUGGAGCAAUGCCGCGUGAGUGAAGAAGGGUUUCGGCUCGUAAAACUCUGUUGUUAAAGAAGAACACCUUUGAGAGUAACUGUUCAAGGGUUGACGGUAUUUAACCAGAAAGCCACGGCUAACUACGUGCCAGCAGCCGCGGUAAUACGUAGGUGGCAAGCGUUGUCCGGAUUUAUUGGGCGUAAAGCGAGCGCAGGCGGUUUUUUAAGUCUGAUGUGAAAGCCUUCGGCUUAACCGGAGAAGUGCAUCGGAAACUGGGAGACUUGAGUGCAGAAGAGGACAGUGGAACUCCAUGUGUAGC